CCAGCUACAGACCAGUUACAACCAACUGCUUCAAGAUUGGAAGACACUUGACACUGAGGCCAGAUUUAAAGCCCUUACUGAGGAGCGGGAUGAACUGAAGACAAAGCUGGCUGACUUUAUUAAGGCCAACUAUUCCCAGCAAGGAUGGAAGUAUUUCAGCGGCAGUUUCU